UGUUGGCGAAAACCCUUCUUUUACUA
rnacentral:tRNA from 5 species